GGCGCUGUACCCAAGUGGUAAGGGAGUAGUCUGCAAAACUAUCAUUCGCUGGUUCGAGUCCAGUCGGCGCCU
rfam:Spirochaetaceae bacterium 4572_7 ex4572_7_scaffold_10184, whole genome shotgun sequence.